GAUGCUUCAGUCAUAAAAAUACACCUUGGGUGAGACAGUGUUUGAAAUCCAACAGUUCGUCUCUAUGGUCUUCCCUGCUUCUGUACAGGGAGUGAUGGAGGAAAAACCACAGAAACUAACUGUCAGAUUUAAAACACUAUCCGGCCCAAGGUGCGUGCAUAUGGUUCUAAGAUUCUGUCAUAUAUUAAAGGUGGCAUCCCCAUUUGUUAAAGGUGGAGAUGCGUUUUUUUUUGGGGGUUUAAACACAAACUUUAUUUAAAAAUCAAUUGCCUUUAAAUACUUGAUUAAAAGAUUAUUAUUGUGGUCGUAGUCACAGCAACUACUAUCACAAUUAUAUUAAAAAUAGUUUUGAGGUGACAGUAGCCCUUUGAGCAGAAACAAGAUUGAUUCUAUAUGCCUCCCUUACUUUUUUUUUGUUCUUUUUACCUUUGAAAAAAAUAUGCGACCUAUUAAACCUUUCAGCUCCAAUAAACUGUGAUAAUAAUACUGGGUUCACUUAUCCCUGGCAAUUCACAGAGCUUAAAAAGUAUAACGUAACUACUUAUUGGUGACAGUGCUACCUGUAAACUACCGUACCUGACCAUGAUGUGUUAUCACAGACCCAAUAAAAG